CCUACGGGAGGCAGCAGUGGGGAAUCUUGCGCAAUGGGCGAAAGCCUGACGCAGCCAUGCCGCGUGAAUGAUGAAGGUCUUAGGAUUGUAAAAUUCUUUCACCGGGGACGAUAAUGACGGUACCCGGAGAAGAAGCCCCGGCUAACUUCGUGCCAGCAGCCGCGGUAAUACGAAGGGGGCUAGCGUUGCUCGGAAUUACUGGGCGUAAAGGGAGCGUAGGCGGAUAGUUUAGUCAGAGGUGAAAGCCCAGGGCUCAACCUUGGAAUUGCCCUUGAUACUGGCUAUCUUGAGUACGGAAGAGGUAUGUGGAACUCCGAGUGUAGAGGUGAAAUUCGUAGAUAUUCGGAAGAACACCAGUGGCGAAGGCGACAUACUGGUCCGUUACUGACGCUGAGGCUCGAAAGCGUGGGGAGCAAACAGGAUUAGAUACCCUGGUAGUCCACGCUGUAAACGAUGAGUGCUAGUUGUCGGCAUGCAUGCAUGUCGGUGACGCAGCUACGCAUAAGACACUCCGCCGUCGGGGAGGUACGGUCGCGAAGAAUUAAAACUAACGAAAGAAAGUUAGUACGGCGUGAGACGUGCCGAACGGACGACCGACGAGGGAAGGUUAGG
rnacentral:rRNA from 1 species